rnacentral:rRNA from 1 species
GACGAACGCUGGCGGCGUGCUUAACACAUGCAAGUCGAACGGAAAGGCCCUGCUUUUGUGGGGUGCUCGAGUGGCGAACGGGUGAGUAACACGUGAGUAACCUGCCCUUGACUUUGGGAUAACUUCAGGAAACUGGGGCUAAUACCGGAUAGGAGCUCCUGCUGCAUGGUGGGGGUUGGAAAGUUUCGGCGGUUGGGGAUGGACUCGCGGCUUAUCAGCUUGUUGGUGGGGUAGUGGCUUACCAAGGCUUUGACGGGUAGCCGGCAUGAGAGGGUGACCGGCCACAAUGGGACUGAGAGACGGCCCAGACUACUACGGGAGGCAGCAGUGGGGAAUAUGGCACAAUGGGCGGGAGCCUGAUGCAGCAACGCCGCGUGAGGGAUGACGGCCUUCGGGUUGUAAACCGCUUUCGCCUGUGACGAAGCGUGAGUGACGGUAAUGGGUGAAGAAGCACCGGCUAACUACGUG